UACGUAGGGUCCGAGCGUUGUCCGGAAUUAUUGGGCGUAAAGGGCUCGUAGGCGGUUCGUCACGUCGGGAGUGAAAACUCGGGGCUUAACCCCGAGCCUGCUUCCGAUACGGGCAGACUAGAGGUAGGCAGGGGAGAGCGGAACUCCUGGUGUAGCGGUGGAAUGCGUAGAUAUCGCUUGGAACGCCGAAGGUGAAAACAGGCUGCUGGGGUUGCGCCGACGCUGAGACACGAAAGCCAGGGGAGCAAACGGG
rnacentral:rRNA from 1 species